AACACCCUUCUCUUCCCAUAGAGCCAUCUAAAUUACAACCAAAGGUCUGAUCAAAGGAUGGCACCAAUACAUGUGCUGCAUGACUGAAGAGGGGCAGAGUCCCUUCCUGGUCCUGAAACGAGGAAACUAAUUAUAGCACCAUACAGGAGUUUCCCCAUCCAGUGAGCUGGGGCAAAAGAGGGUCUCACUUUGUCACCCAGGCUGGAAUGCAGUGGCACAAUCUCAGUUCACUUCAACCUCAACCUCCUGGUCUCAAGUGAUCCUCUCACCUCAGCCUCCUGAGUAGCUGAGAUUACAGGAGCCCACCACCAUGUCUGGCUAAUUUUUUAUUUUUAGUAGAGAUGGGGUUUCAUUAUGUUGGCCAGGCUGGACUUGAACUCCUGACCUUAGGUGAUCCACUCGCCUCAGCCUCCCAAAGUGCUGGGAUAACAAGCGUGAGCCAUUGCGCCUGGCAUGGGCCUGUAUUUCAUUCUCUUCUUUUCUGUUAUAGUCACGUUAACAAAAGGAGAUGCACAGAAUAGCAAUUUUCAGUGAGACUCUACCGAAUUGUUGUAGGGCUUGGCAAAAAUUCCAUGUGGGAGAUCCUUGA